rnacentral:rRNA from 1 species
GGUUGCGAUCAUACCAGCACUAAUGCACCGGAUCCCAUCAGAACUCCGUAGUUAAGCGUGCUUGGGCGAGAGUAGUACUAGGAUGGGUGACCCCUGGGAAGUCCUCGUGUCACAACCC